ACUAGGCGGCGUAAGCGGCUUUACGGUCAGUUUGACAGUUUGACAACAUGACGCUUGUUCAAACAACACGUGCAGACCGUUUUAAACACAUCUUAUGCAGAUGACAGCUCAGUGACAAUAUCUUAAUGUCACUAAACAACACAUAUUUCAGCUCUUCGACAAAUAAAACCGACGCGUAAUGCGAUAAAGAGCGUCACGCUUCUCACCUAAUAAGAGAUGUGUUUGGACCACACAGAGCUCUGGGACGUGUGGACAGACAUUCGCUGUAAUGAAGGACAUCUGCUCAUGGACAGAAGCAUAACUGCUGCUGGACAUCGCUCUGGGACUCAGGGGGGGACCCAAAUCAUCCUCACCCCUUCAUUCACACAACACUCACUCAUAUCGCAGAGAUCUGGCUGGGAUCAAACCAGCAACCUCUGAACCUUGAGGCAGCGCUCUUACCAGUGAGCCACAGAUCUCUUAUCUGGAUAUGUGAAAUAACUUAUAAUUCACUGUUCAUCUGUAUGGGACAUGGAAUUUAACAAUAAACCAGAUAAUGAUAGCAUCAUCCCAACGUGUUGAGGUGGGGCUUGAACCCACAUCUCCAGCUCAACCUCAUCCACAACAAAU